UACGUAGGAGGCGAGCGUUGUCCGGAAUCACUGGGCGUAAAGGGCGCGUAGGCGGCUCAUGAAGGCUGUGGUGAAAGUCCGGGGCUCAACCUCGGAUCGGCCGUGGCGACUCGUGGGCUGGAGCACUGUAGAGGCGGGUGGAAUUCCGGGUGUAGCGGUGGAAUGCGUAGAGAUCGGGAGGAACACCAGAGGCGAAGGCGGCGACCUGGACAGGUACUGACACUCAACUACGAAAGCGUGGGGGAGCAAACAGG
rnacentral:rRNA from 1 species